UGCGAUGGUUGUCGUCAGCUCGUGUCGUGAGAUGUUGGUUAAGUCCGCAACGAGCGCAACCCCUAUUGUUAGUUGCCAUCAUUCAGUUGGGCACUCUAGCGAGACUGCCGGUAAUAAACCGGAGGAAGGUGGGGAUGACGUCAAAUCAUCAUGCCCCUUAUGACCUGGGCUACACACAUGCUACAAUGGUUGGUACAACGAGUUGCGAGUCGGUGACGGCGAGCUAAUCUCUUAAAGCCAAUCUCAGUUCGGAUUGUAGGCUGCAACUCGCCUACAUGAAGUCGGAAUCGCUAGUAAUCGCGGAUCAGCACGCCGCGGUGAAUACGUUCCCGGGCCUU
rnacentral:rRNA from 1 species